GAUGAACGCUGGCGGCGUGCCUAAUACAUGCAAGUCGAGCGAACAGACGAGGAGCUUGCUCCUCUGACGUUAGCGGCGGACGGGUGAGUAACACGUGGAUAACCUACCUAUAAGACUGGGAUAACUUCGGGAAACCGGAGCUAAUACCGGAUAAUAUAUUGAACCGCAUGGUUCACUAGUGAAAGACGGUUUUGCUGUAACUUAUAGAUGGAUCCGCGCCGCAUUAGCUAGUUGGUAAGGUAACGGCUUACCAAGGCAACGAUGCGUAGCCGACCUGAGAGGGUGAACGGCCACACUGGAACUGAGACACGGUCCAGACUCCUACGGGAGGCAGCAGUAGGGAAUCUUCCGCAAUGGGCGAAAGCCUGACGGAGCAACGCCGCGUGAGUGAUGAAGGUCUUCGGAUCGUAAAACUCUGUUAUUAGGGAAGAACAAAUGUGUAAGUAACUAUGCACGUCUUGACGGUACCUAAUCAGAAAGCCACGGCUAACUACGUG
rnacentral:rRNA from 1 species